rnacentral:rRNA from 1 species
UACGUAGGUGGCAAGCGUUAUCCGGAUUUAUUGGGCGUAAAGGGAACGCAGGCGGUCUUUUAAGUCUGAUGUGAAAGCCUUCGGCUUAACCGGAGUAGUGCAUUGGAAGCUGGGAGACUUGAGUGCAGAAGAGGAGAGUGGAACUUCAUGUGUAGCGGUGAAAUGCGUAGAUAUAUGGAAGAACACCAGUGGCGAAAGCGGCUCUCUGGUCUGUAACUGACGCUGAGGUUCGAAAGCGUGGGUAGCAAACAGG